rnacentral:lncRNA from 1 species
CAGUGACGUUCACCUUGUGCUCUCCAUUUUGUGCAGUUCCAGACUCUGGCCCACAUUUAGGAUGACUUUUCCCUUCCUCUUUAAUAAACACUUCCAGAAGCAGAUCAUAGACAGUGUGUUGCCAUGCUAUUCUCAAUCGGAUUAAACUGAGAGUGAAGAUGGGCUCUAUCCUGCCUCAGUAUUAUUGCUUCAGUCGAUAGACCAAGAACACAGUGGCAGACUUCAAAAUACUCUGGGGACCUGAGAGCAGGGAGAAUUCCUGCACCUUUCUGGAGAGGAGGAAAACGAAAGAGAUUCAGACAGAUACAACAGCACAUAUCAGGGGAAGGGGUUCAGAUGGAGAGUCUGACUUACCAUCACAGAGGAUUGGAACAGACAACGCCACGUCACAGAGGGACUGUUCACACAGUCCCUGAGGUGGAAGACUCUUUAACCAAGUGUCACAGGGUACAAGCAAGCCUCCUAGGAGCAAGCCGCUGGAUCCAUCAUGUGAAUGGUCCCAGGACAGACAGAGCUUCUAUCCUAAGGACCAAGCUGACUUUCUAUAGCAAGAUGUCAUCAGCGUCUUUUUGA